GAAGUUGAUUCGCAAUUCUCACAAAUAGUCCGAGUCCAGCACUGAAGGGGACCCACACAGGGGUCACAACAUAUUAUACACCAUUAUACAACAGUUAGAAGUCGUUGUGGUUGACUGCCAGGCAGCUACUGCCAAAGGAGGUUGUGUAUUGUUCGUAAAAGUAAAUGUAGUGAUGACCUGAGGGGUAUGGCCGAGUCGGUAAGCGAUGCCCG